GGCAGUAGAUUGUCGCUAGUCAUGUAAGUCUGACCAAUGAGGUCAUUUUUGGCCGUCCCAAAAAAUCACGUAAUAUAAAAAUUCGGUAUUUGUUUAGAAGAGGGGCUAACACCUGUUUCAAUUGCCGAAAAUUCAAUUCUGGACAUAUCAAUUUAAAUCCAAUUUCAACCGCCAUUAUUUUUAGGCGGAUUGAAGAUAUAAUUGCUUAUUUAGGUGUUAUUUAAGCAUUAAUAAAUUGUACGUGUAGACCUAAGCCAGACACUAUACUAGUGAAGGAAGGCGGAUACCGUCCAAACUACUUGCAACAAAAUGUUAGACAUAAAUGCAUACAGAAAAUUUAAUCCGCCGUGUAGUAGAACACGUGGAAAAAGUUUAAUUAUAGAUCUUUAAGGUGUAAGCACUUGGAACUUUCAAAAAUGUGGUUAGCCCCGAUUCCACACAAAUACCAAAAAUUCUUUUGAGUCUAUUAAAUUAAAUUUACUUAUUACUACCUUAAACUAAUAUUAUUUCAAGUACACAAUAAAAUACUAUACGAAUAAUUAAUAGUAAUUAGGAUAUAACUUGAUAAAUGAUAUAAAAAAUAAUGCUGGGAGGUUUUUUUUUUAACUAAAUUAAUAUUUACUUUUUUUAAAUCUUGUAAGGUUACAAAAUACAAUUAUGUAUACAUUUUCUUAAAAACUUAAAUAGCUAUAAAUAGGCAACAAUAUAAAAAAUUAUUAACUUCCUGCUAUGAAAAUUGCACAUUUGCAAAAAUUCAGGAAGUUAUUGUUUUGACCCCGAUUUUCGAAAAUCGAGUUUUCAUCAGAUGCCAAUGUUUUGAGAUCUAAGGAAGCCAUUUUAACCAUUUUCAGAAUGACGUUUAACAUGAAUUAACAUUUGCUAUAAUAUAUCUGUCCGUCUUUAAAUAAAUUCACUUAUCUAUAAUAUUUGAUGACUAUAACACAGGUCUACAAAAAAAAAUUUUUUGUUUGGUGCCGCUAAUUCUAGGUUAUAUUUUGGUUGAUUAGCCCACAAGAUGUCGUGCGAAGCUGUCAAAAUUAUGAAGCUACGUUCAGGUUUGUAUCGAUCGAUAUAAUAACCUAAAAAACGUAUUUUAUUAUAAUUAAUGUCAUUAUAAUCAAUAAAUUUCUUUUUAAAUUAAUAAUAUUGAUAUGCCGUCGAUAUGCCACCAUUUAAAUAUAGUGGAAACCUAAACAUGCAAACCUUCUCAAUAAGACAAUUUAUAGAUAAAUUGAGAAAAAUAUAGAUAACCCAAACUGGGAAUCGAACCCAGACCAAUUCGGUAUCGCGCCGAGUGCUCUACCAGUUGAGCUAUCCGGCACUAUAAUGAGAACGUUUUCAUCAAGAUUUAAAGGUGAUGGAAGAUAGAUACCAAGGUCGCUGGGAUGAGCAUAUGAUGGCAGAUUACCCCUGAUUAAAAAAAGCGAUUUAAAACGAUUUGCAAUGUUAAAUGCCCAUAAGGAGAGGAAUUCAAAAGUAUUCAAGGUAUUCAAAAGCAUUAAAAAGUAUUCAAAAUUUUUUUUUUCGAAUUCUUUUAAAUCGCUUUUUUUAAUCAGGGACUGUUGGAGUAUUACACGGGAAUGUCCUGAAGACAUCCAUCGGAGAAAAUCUAAAAAGAGAAGCUUCUAACCUGUCAAAUAAAAUGUGUUAUUAAAUGUAUUUAACUGUUUUGAAUUAAAUGUUCUUUUGUUUUUUAAUAAAUGAAAAUCUCGAAAACUAUACGUAGCAUUAAAAAAGGAAGUAUCACGUUUUUAUCAGGGUACCGAAUGUACUUGAAAUCAGUUUUACUUUUAGCAGCACCAAAAUCAUUGUAGACCUGUGUAAUUAAUAUAUGUACUUACUGUUUAUCAACUAAUGAUUAAUUAAGUGAUUAACUAAUUAACUAAUAAAUAUACUCAUUGUAAUUUUGAAAAGAAUGAUGUGCGUAUGUGUAUAAAUACUGUAAUUUUUAAUUUGAUGGUCCUUAGUGAGCUACGGCUCUAGGAUCAAAUAAAAAUUAUUAUCUAUCUAUCUAUCUAUCUAUCUAUCUAUGAGGUAAUUUCAAACUUAUCAAGUUAAAAGACAGUAAGAAGUUUUGGAGCUAGUCGGAAGUAUCAGUUGAUUCUCGCAUUAUAUUUAAAGGAUCACUAUAACAUCUUAUAACGCAUAAAUUAUGUAUUUAUUAUUGUUAGUAAAUAAAUAUAACUCAUUAAUUUUAUUGAUUUUUUCGUAUUUAACAUUUUUAAUUAACAAUCUUAGUGUGAGUUAUACAAAUUCAAAUCCUUCAAAUUUAUAAUCACCAAUUUUCAAAUCAGGCAUAAGCACCGCGCCAUUAAUUGUGAAAGCUGUAAUAUAACUUGCUGUUUGACUUUGAAAUUCUUCAGUUUUUAAUGCGAUUAUUAUUCUAUCUUCAGAACCAGGGAGAAACUUGAAACUAGAAAAACCUCUGAUAGGUAUCCAGUUAUUUAACUGCGUUACCUGUAUCAAUAAAAAAUCUAGGUCAUUACUAAAAAAAAGGCUCCUAUAUGAAAAAAUAAUUUUAAAAACCGUUAUACAUAUAAUCAUACAGAAAUAAUUAGCUAACGUUUUUGAACAACCUUAACACACACUGUGUAAAGAGCAAUUCACAGUAAAUAACAAGGUUUCACAACCGGUUUAUUUUUAAUUUUUCUACUUUUGCGAUGCUUUAAUAAUUAUUUAGAAUAACUUCUGCCUAAAAAUCCAGUCUGAUAGUCCCAAGUACGAAAUUUCUCAAAAUAAAAUAUUCGGACAACAUAAACUAAACAAUGUAAUUUAAAUACUUUUGUUUCAUCAGUCUCGAUAAUUGAAGCGCACUUCGCUAGACUAGACAGUAGUGCAUCAAUGCGUAGUUUGUAGUUGAUAUUUAGAGAUUUUGUUUCUGAGAAAAACUCAGCCGAAAAUAUAUGAUAACCCCUAUUAAAAAGAAAAGAGUGCUCAAUCAAUUACCUGAACAUGACUAAAGUUCUCAUCUGCUUUGAGUAAGACAUUACAGCUCAUUUUCUCAUCUUCAGUUUCAUUGUAUUGGUUCACAGAACAUCUGCGAGGAAUGAAAAACCAACAUUUAUGAAUAUCACUCCAUACUCCUGAUUCAUGGAUCAUAUAACCUGUUCAUAAUAUACUCUCAUUACGAUGAUAUAAUAAUUAGGUAAACUUUUUCUAAAUGUAGCUAAUAUUACUAGUAUUUAUUCUCAAAUGGUCAGAAUAGGACCUCAAAAUGUCGACAUCUGAUGAAAACUCGAUUUUCGAAAAUCGGGAUGAAAACAAUAACUUCCUGAAUUUUUGAAAAUUUACAAUUUUCUUAGCGGAAAGUUAAAAAGGUAGGUGCAGAGGUUUGUAGCAAGCUCUUCAAAUCAGAAAAAUCCUGGUUCAAGUCUAAUACUCGGCGAAAUUUUUUUAUCAAUAAAAAACAAUAAUCGAUUUGUUCAAAUCAUUUUCCUAUUCUAUGAGAUCACAUACACUACUGCUUAAAAGUUUUUGGCCACCUGCAUUUUUCUGUACAUUACUAACAAUACAUCUAUCAAAAACAUUUCAUUCGGUUUUAUUAUUUGUAUCUCACUACAAUAAGAUACAUAUUGUUAUUACGUCUAAGGAUUUGCUAAUAAAUAAUUAAAAUUACUAUGAAAUCAUUUCAUUCAUUCCUUCUUCUGAGUGGCCAAAUUCUUUUGAGCCGUAGUGUAUCUUGCGGUGAGAUAUAAACAAUGAAACCCAAUAAAAUAAUUUUAAUAGAUGUAUUGUUAGUAAUGUACAGAAAAAUCAGGUGGCCAAAUACUUCUGAGCGGUAGUGUAUGCACUCUGCUGAAUUUAAAACUAAUUGUCUAUGUGUAUUCUAAUACGUAACAUAAAUCUCCAUUAGCUUUGAACCUAAUAUGAACUAUUGUGAUUGGGUUGAUCAUAGCCAAAGUUCAUAGUUUCUUAAAAAAUUUUGUAAAUCAAUGGAUCGAUUGAUUAUUACUAGAUCAUUUUUAAAAAAUUAUACCUGGAAAUUCUAUAUUGAUAGAUCGCCUCAGUUUCUUAUAAUUUUCAAUCCAAUUAAUUGAUUUUACUUCACCACGUGGAGAAAUGGUCUUGAUCCACAUCGGAUUAUUAUGAGUGAAUUUUCCAGAAGACGUAGUCCACUCUU